UCAUCCCUAAAAAAACUCUCUCACGAACUCACCUCGGUCCACCCCACCCGGCUCGGCUCCUCUCCCCACGAUCUCCUCGCCGCCGCCACCACCCACGUCGGCCAGUUCUGGCGAGCACCGGCCACGCGCAACACUCCCCCAAGCUCCCGCCUUCCUCCGCUCUGAUCCCCAUGGAAGCCACCGCUGCCGCCUCCCUCGCGCGGACUCUCGCCUCCUCGCCGCUCCCCCACAGCUCCCGCCGUAGCCGCGUGUGCGUGGCCAUGGCGCCGGAGCGGCGGAGGAGGGGUAGGGCGGUGCUUGAUUAGUGAUCCGUCCCCGCCGCUGGCUUUCCUCCUCCCCUCUCCUCUGCCGCUGCCGCUGGCUUUCUUUCCUGCGAGCGGGGAUCGUCCAUGAUCCGUCCGGAGCUCACUCCCCGCCUCCUACAUGCGUACGUGCUCGACCCCCUCACCUCAAUCGUCCGUCAUCCGUCCGGAAUUCAUGCUCGGACAUGGCCAGGCUCCCCGUUCUUGAUAUGGCCUAGUAUAUAUCUAGUUCCUGGUGUUCAGGUCGUGUGGCUUAACGGCCACCCCCUGAGCCUAGUUGGAUUUGUUUCAGGUUCUGCGUUGAUUAGGUCCUGGAUGAUUGGGUUGGGUACUGACCUAUGUCUGUAUGUAGCAACAGAUACAGGAGAAGUUUUCUGUCGGAUUAGUUUACAGUGAAUUUUCAUAUGACCGAGUUUAAGAUUGAGAAUUUGGUCAAAGCUAGGCUUUAAUCCUAGGGGAAAAUCUAUUAAAAAUAAAAGGAAGAACAAAUGAAAGCAGGGAACUAGACAGUCCCUACGCAGACGUAAGGCCACUUCAGAUUCUCACCUCCUUCAAUUCAAAAUUCAGAAAUUAUAAUUCCUCUGUUUUUUAUUUGCCCAUAAAAAUUGCAGCCAAUUCAAAAUGCACACACUAUCAUCUUAAUGGAACUAUUCAGUGCCUUCUUGACCUGGUUGACCAUCUAUCCUUUGCCCUCGUCAUCGAUAUAACAUCUAGUGUGUUUUGUUUACGCUCGUCUAACAUGCCAUUGCUCGCCAAACUGAAUGUGGGUGGGAGCAGCAUCAAUAAACUAAGUCUAGCAUGCCAUUUCUCUUAUCGUCAUACCACUGAACUGUGUUGUUGAAUUGGAUUGUGUAGAUUCAUUUAUGGAUGUUUAUCAACCAUGAACGAACAAACUCUAGGGGCAAAUUUAUCUUUUUUACCUUUUAUUUCUUAAUAUAUGCAUUAAACCAUGCCUCUUAUGAUUUUGGCUUCUCAAGUAUAUUUUUAUUGUUUGUGCGUCGCGCAUCUAUGCUUGUGGAAAUAUUACAGCCCCACUGUUAGGAGUACAAGUUUAGUCCUGACAGACUGGGCGUAAGUGGAUUGGUUUUCCUUUUGAUUAGUAUAAGUAGAUGGUAGCAGACCUGGACAAAUAACAUUGGAUCUUAAUAUCUCAUGACAUUGAGUAGAGGACAAGAGAUCGGAUGAGUCUUGUUGUCACAUGUGGUUCGGAUGGUCAAAGUAGAUGGUAGUUGGAUCCGAGCACCCAGUCAGUGAUGCUCUGCCGCCCGAUUUAAAAUGGUGCUCUCUGGAGAGCUAACGUCGACCCCGGCGCUGGUGCAGGAGGUGUCCAUGGGCAACAUCCUCGGUGCAAAGCUCAGCUAGACCCCGGCUAGGCAGGCCUCUCUCCGCGUCGCUUGCCCAACACCGUACCCUGCACCACUGUCAACAAAGUCUGCUCGUCGGGGACGAAGGGUAUCCAUAUUUCAUCUCUUCACCUGCAAUGUCUCCGUAGUUACUUGUCGCCGCUGCUAAAAAACUUAUGUUGUUUCAUGUUGGCCUGCUCCUUGCUAUCUGAAGUAUGUAUUUUUUGUCUAUCGCUCAUGCGCUAUCUGAAGAAUUUUAUGAAGGUAAUUUUAGUGUGUGUUUAGCUUUCAGUUUUUGCUUCUACUUCACAGAGUCGAAGAUCGUAAGAAAACAUUGGAUGAUCUUUAACAAUUAUUCUUAGAAGUAAACCUGAGCAGUAUUUGAUGAUAUAUUGUGAGUCACUGUAAGUGUAUACUGUUUUUUCUUCAGGAUAUGGAUAACUAUCUGAAGGGAUGCAGGUUUCUUCCCAAACUUAAGAAUGAGAUACCCGGUGAAAGAAAUGCUCCCUAGUCCCUACAGGGAAAGUUUGAGCAGCCUAGAGAAUUUAGUACUGAUCAUGGGUGAUCGACGAGGACUACUGCGGCCCGAUGGGACUCGUGCUCUUCCACUACUCGGAGGCAGACUUCACCGUGAAGCCUCGCAACUGCGUCAUAUAGAUUAUCGUCUAGGUGAUUGCGGCACAGGAGGACCCCGGGGUGGAGGACCUCGACGCCACCGUCCGGAGGUCACGAGGUGGAAGACGACGCCACCGUCCGUAGUUCCUCAAGGUGAAGGACCUUGACGCUUUGUAGAUACAUCUAGAGAAGUGGUCUGGUUAGGUUGGUGGUGAAAUGCUAGGGAAGGUACCAACCUUUUGAUGAUGGUUGUGUGCGUCCUCGUGAUCUCUUCGAGUUGAGAUGUUCAAUGUUGCAUCCAUGAACACUGCAAGUGUUAAGAUGGUUAUCUGAAAUUUAUUUUGCA